rnacentral:rRNA from 1 species
GAGUUUGAUCCUGGCUCAGGAUGAACGCUGGCUGUAUGCCUAACACAUGCAAGUCGUACGAGAGUUUUUAACUCUAGUGGCGGACGGGUGAGUAACACGUGAGAAUUUGCCUUUAGGAGGGGGACAACAAUUGGAAACGAAUGCUAAUACCCCAUAUGCUUUCGAGUGAAAUGGAUUUAUAUUUAUCCGCCUAGAGAGAAGCUCGCGGCUGAUUAGCUUGUUGGUAAGGUAAGAGCUUACCAAGGCGACGAUCAGUAUCUGGUUUGAGAGGACGAUCAGACACACUGGAACUGAGACACGGUCCAGACUCCUACGGGAGGCAGCAGUGGGGAAUUUUCCGCAAUGGGCGAAAGCCUGACGGAGCAAUACAGCGUGAGGGAAGACUGCCUAUGGGUUGUAAACCUCUUUUUUCAGGGAGGAAUAAAUGACGUGUACCUGAAGAAUAAGCAUCGGCUAACUCCGUGCCAGCAGCCGCGGUAAGACGGAGGAUGCAAGUGUUAUCCGGAAUCACUGGGCGUAAAGCGUCUGUAGGUGGUUUAAUAAGUCAACUGU